rnacentral:lncRNA from 1 species
CGUAAGAUGGGAAAUUUUCUAAAUUAUUAACAUGCAAGGUGUCCAUAGAUAUUUUAGAAUGGACAUUUGAUUAAAGCAGGAUAACAUGGAAUAAUUUUUAAGCAAUGUUGUUUUAGCUUUGAAGAUAGGAUUUUAUAUGAGAAUAUUAUCAUUUAUCAAAAGAACCAGGCUCUGGCAUAAUUACAGCAUAGUUCCUAAUCAAGAACGAUAGACAAAUAAAUUAUAACAUAUGCAACACAUCUACUUGGCAGAUACAAACUGACCAAUGGAUGAUGUCAGGGAGUCUACACUCACUGGGUACAUUCACUUCUGUUGGUUAAACACACUCUGAAAGUACAGGAAUAAAAAAUAAAACCACUGGCUGUAUAGAAUUAAUAUGCUAAGCCCCAAAUAACACCUUUAGAGAACAUAUCCCAGAAUAAUAAAAAAGAAUUAAAGAAUUAGGUCAGUAGGACUUAAUUUCUAGAAUCCAAUGCCAUGUAUGUGCUAUAUGCAAAGAGGUGUAUUGAGCUCUCGAACUGGAUAAACUGAUGGCGUUCAUUUAGUAGUUUGAUAGCAUUGCUUUUAAUAUGAUUUGAGGUUUUUCUUUAAUUAAUGUGUUUUUUGUCUCUCCUAGCCUUUUCCUUGCUUUGAAAUUGGAAUCAAAAUUUUUAAACUAUUUUCCUCACCUGUCUUCUACCCUUCUUAACUACCAACUUUACACUAGAUAUCGUUUGAAGAAUUAACAUGAAGACACUGACCAUUCUCACCUGGAAAGAAUAUUAUCCAAUAUAUUUACAAUACAUGGUGUGAUUCUGUUCUAUACUUGCAAUGUUAAGUGAAGAAUUACAACUUGGAGUUUACACACUGUCCAUUGAUGGCUGUUGAGGACUUCCCCAUGUUUUCUAAUGAAAUAACCUAUUUAAUAUGUCCUUCCACAACAGAGAACAAAUUUCUCUAUUUUAUAAUAUUAUAACAACAACUCAAUUUAAAGUGUGAAUCAAAGACAAUGUAUUCAUUUGUAAAUUAGAAAACUUUUGAACUCUGUCUUUCCUUUUAUGUACAUAAACUAUGUCAAUAAACUAGUGCCUCAGACCUGUGAGCCCUAAUG